UUACAUGAUGAUUUACUAUAUAUUUUAUCACGACGGUCAACAUAACUUUAACAUUGAUGACCAUUGCCUGUGACAGGGCUUUAUCUGACA
rnacentral:snoRNA from 1 species